rnacentral:rRNA from 1 species
ACGGGUGAGUAAUGUCUGGGAAACUGCCUGAUGAGGGGGAUAACUACUGGAAACGGUAGCUAAUACCGCAUAACGUCGCAAGACCAAAGAGGGGGACCUUCGGGCCUCUUGCCAUCGGAUGUGCCCAGAUGGGAUUAGCUAGUAGGUGGGGUAACGGCUCACCUAGGCGACGAUCCCUAGCUGGUCUGAGAGGAUGACCAGCCACACUGGAACUGAGACACGGUCCAGACUCCUACGGGAGGCAGCAUG